rnacentral:rRNA from 1 species
UACGUAGGGGGCAAGCGUUGUCCGGAAUCAUUGGGCGUAAAGCGCGUGUAGGCGGUUUGUCGCGUCUGCUGUGAAAAUCCGGGGCUCAACCCCGGACUUGCAGUGGGUACGGGCAGACUAGAGUGUGGUAGGGGGAGACUGGAAUUCCUGGUGUAGCGGUGGAAUGCGCAGAUAUCAGGAGGAACACCGAUGGCGAAGGCAGGUCUCUGGGCCACUACUGACGCUGAGAAGCGAAAGCAUGGGGAGCGAACAGG